CUUCUAGUGCUUACAAGCAUGGAGUCUUCUUCUUUCUCCUUAUGUUGCUGCUGCCCGGCUUUGCCACCCUAGUUGGGUCCAAGAUUGCCAGUGCUAUCACUGGUCAGCCUGAUCUUUUAUAAUAGAAGAUCUUUAGCUGUCUUUUUUGGUCCUUCCUGAUCCAUGUAACUGAUAGUUUUCAAGGCAUUUUGGCUUUGAAUUAACAUGUCCAAGGAUAGUUGUGACUGCCAGGGAGAAUCUGUUCUUUUGCCAUUUCUCU
rnacentral:lncRNA from 1 species